rnacentral:rRNA from 1 species
UCGGUUGAUCCUGCCGGACCCGACUGCUAUCAGAGUGAGAUUAAGCCAUGCGAGUCAACGUAGCAAUACGUGGCAUACGGCUCAGUAACACGUAGUCAACAUAACCAAAGGACGUGGAUAAACUCGGGAAACUGAGGCUAAACCGCGAUAGAUCAAGAUACCUGGAAUGGUUUUGAUCAAAAUCUAUAUGGCCUUUGGAUUGGACUGCGUCCGAUCAGGCUGUUGGUGAGGUAAUGGCCCACCAAACCUAUAACCGGUACGGGCUCUGAGAGGAGGAGCCCGGAGAUGGGUACUGAGAUAAGGACCCAGGUCCUAUGGGGCGCAGCAGGCGCGAAACCUCUGCAAUAGGCGAAAGCUUGACAGGGUUACUCUGAGUGACUUUCGUUAAGAAAGUCUUUUGACACCUCUAAAAAUGGUGUAGAAUAAGGGGUGGGCAAGUCUGGUGUCAGCCGCCGCGGUAAUACCAGCACCCCGAGUGGUCGGGACGAUUAUUGGGCCUAAAGCAUCCGUAGCCGGCCUUACAAGUCCUCCGUUAAAUCCAGCUGCUUAACAGAUGGGCUGCGGAGGAUACUAUAAGACUAGGAGGCAGGAGAGGCAAGCGGUACUCAGUGGGUAGGGGUAAAAUCCGUUGAUCCAUUGAAGACCACCAGUGGCGAAGGCGGCUUGCCAGAAUGCGCUCGACGGUGAGGGAUGAAAGCUGGGGGAGCAAACCGGAUUAGAUACCCGGGUAGUCCCAGCUGUAAACGAUGCAGACUCGGUGAUGGACUAGCUAUAUGCUGGUCCAGUGCCGCAGGGAAGCCGUUAAGUCUGCCGCCUGGGUAGUACGGUCGCAAGACUGAAACUUAAAGGAAUUGGCGGGG